CCACUGGCUCGCGCGGCCGCCGCUGCUCUGGUGUUGCCGCUUCCUCGGGAAACCGGAAGUGCCUGCCACGGGGUGGGAGAUGUGAUCAGAAAACUGGAAAAUGUCUGUGCGAGUUCCAAAAUGUCUGUUGGACUCCUAGGUACCCGGGAACCCGAGGAGCAACCUGUCUCCACUUCUCUCCCUCAUCCCGGUUCCAGGAUGAGGUCGUGGAAAAAAAGAAAGAAAAGCAAGAGGAAAUUUCACGACCUCACUGGCUAUGGAGGGAAACCCAUGUUUGAAGUGGGUGGACAUGAAAAUACAGUCAAAGGAUUAAUAAAAUUAGGAGCCCUGCUUCCACCUGCUAUCCUGCCAACUCCUUGUUGGCAACUUGUGAAAGUGUGAACCAAAAUAAACCUCCCUCCUUUAAGUCAUGACUGGGUGUUUUGCAACAGUGAUGAAAAAAUGACCAAGACAAUUGCCGUAGGUGAAACGAUAAGGAAUCUCGUUAACUCACCAACCUGUUGUCUGUUUGCACAAAAGACAGGAAAGCUUGACCUGGUCUGCAGGAUAGCCAGCUGACAGGUCAGCCUUGAAAAGUGUGAACUUGUGUGGCACAGAAAGAAGACUGCAGUCCAUGCUAAAGGGAUUUGCUGUAGGAUGCUCCUCCUCACCUGGAACAGAUCCUCACCAGGAAAGGUACUGGGGAAGCACAAAUGUCCUCCUAUUCCCUGCAGAAGCAGAAUCCUGACAGGCAAAGAGAUGGAGCUGAGUGAUUAUCAGGCCACACUGGGACAGACAUACUGUGGGCUCUCGCAGUGGCCUUGGUGCUCAGCACCUGUGUUUCUGGGAAAGUGACGACAAAAUUUUAGGCAUUCUCCAAAUCAUGACUGUGGGGCUGCAAACCAAACAAGAUGGGAUGAGAGGAUUCAUUGCAGAGGUUCGAGAGCUGAGCAGCAGGGAAAACAAGUUGGGUUCCACCAGUCAUCCCCUCGCCCAGCUCAUCAUGCUGCCUCAGCCUGAAGGAGGAUGGAGCUUACUGACAGAAAGGCCAGUAAACACCAUUCUCCUCAUCCAUUCCUACAUUUGACCCUGGCCUGCCAUGGUGGAAGCUUCCUAGUGAAGUGUGGGUUCAGAGCCCUUCAGAGAAAGGGGGUGUGUGAAAAGCUCCUUUCAUCAUUCCUGGCUGCUUUCACAAUGAGUGCCAAUUUGGGUGUCAUUUACUAAGAAAUGGUUCCUGGGAUGGAGGUGGCUUCUUCUCAGUACCUAGUGAGUGUCAAUGAUUUAAGGUCCUCCAUGACUUGAACACAGUAUCUAGUUAAGUGUACUAGUGUACUUCAAAAAUAUGGGAAAUGUAAACUUUAAAAAGCUUUUUAUCAUAAAAGUAACUUUGUCAAUCUCCCUCAAAAUACUGCCCCUUACUUUGAACACAUUUUCUGGAUUAGUUAUGGAAGUCCUCUUUUGUGAGUGUCUUUAGAUGCACUGUCAUGGUUGCCUUGAUGUCCUGAUUCCAUUUUUUUUUUUUUUGUUUUGUUUUUUGUCUUUUUUCCUUUUUAUCGGUACCGGGGAUCGAACUCACGACCACUUCCUCGCAAGGCAGGCACUUAUGCCGCUGAGCUAAAUCCCCAGACCCCUGAUUCCAUUUUAAACACAUGUCAUUGUAUUUUGACUUUGAGGAAGAGCCAGAAGUUACAUAGUGCCAGAUCUGGUGAAUAAAGUGCAUGCAGACACACUGACAUGUAUUUAUAAGCCCACAUUUUUGUUGGAUAGCACUUGGCAGAGAUGUUCAUUUUAUUUUUGAACACAGCUUGUGAAGACACUCAUGCAAGAGGACUCCCAGAACUGCUUCAGCGUGGCAAGAAGGGUGGGAUAAGUAUGAUCAGAGCAAAAAGAAAGUAUUUUGAGGGAAGUUAUGGCAAAGUAUCAUUUAUGGUAAUAAUUUUUUUAAAAUACUGUAUUUUUUAUCACACCACGUAUGUCUGUUCUUGCUCCUUUCCCACUAAAACUGUACCAGAAGAAUGUUUAAAAUGUACUAAUACUUAAUCUUCAAGAGAACAGAAUAGAAAACACAGAUGUCAGAUGAGGGAGCAAAUAGGGAAGAUGUGACUGUUGGAACAGAGCUAAACCCUAAGCCUGCAGUGGAGAAAGCAGACACAAGCUGCUUCAUGCUGCAGAAUUCUCAGAAGGCCCAGAACUUCUGGAAAUGAUAGGCGGGGAGAGCUCAGCCAAGGGGUUUGAAAAGGUAUCAGGUAUUUGAAAAGUAGGUAAACGGGCCCCAUUUCCAAGUCUAUGCUCUUGGGCAACUGACCAUCUUCUACCCCAGUGUUAAUUCAAAGAUUUAUUCCCAGUAAAGAAGAAAAAAGAGAUUCUUUAGGCAGAUUCAGUGUCCUCUCAGUGACAUGCUGAAAUCAGGUAACUUGAUUGUAGGUGAACUGAAACCUCAGGAUCCACAGCUCCCUUUCCUCACUCCUCUCCUAGGAGGACAGAAGAUUGGGAAACCCUGCUCCAAGGAAGGAUCUCACUCUGGGAGAAAGACCUGAGAUGCUAUUGGAAUUCCCAACUGAAGGCCCUGCCUAGCCACGAUCAGUGUUGCUGAGUCAAAUCCCAGCUGUGUCACUCACCAACUCUAUAGACAAUGACUGUCCUCUCUGAGUCUCAGUUCUUAGGGCUGGAAAAUGUAGAGGAGAGAGCUGCGUCCAGCCCAAGUGGCUGCUGCAGGCACAAAUGAGUCAAGACACUGAAGGUGUCACCUGCUCCUGUGCUGGGGAGCACAAUUGGCCAUUCUCUUAGCUGAAACCUGCCUCUCUCUAACCCACUCCCCACAGGAAGUGGUGGCUUCCCUCAUCAGGGCCACACACCCAUACCCUAGGCCUGAGAUGAGACAACACUGUGUUCUCUGUGUCAUCUCCUGUCACCGGCUGGAUGUUCCAGCCUCUACUGAGCUCCCACAGAACACACCAGAAACAGGCAGGUGCUGCACAGCUAAGGAAGAGGAAACCCUUUCCCUACAGUUACUGGAAAUGUUGCAGCCUUCUGAAAAGCAUCCCAGACUCCACUCUGACAGUGCUGUGAGGUCCCAGGUUCAUGAAAGGCCCAUGAUGUCCCCCAUUCAAGGUCCCCCAAGUUAGCCAGGCCUUGUCCAGUUCCCUUCCUUACACAAUGCAUUAUGGGAGUCUGAGAACCUAUCCACCUCUAGGUCCCUCACAGUCAUCUAGUCAAAGACCAGUCCUGUCAGGGUGCUGAAGGUGUUCCCUGAAAGAGCAGAUGACACAGGAGAAAUGCAACAAGCUAGUUCCCAGGGCCCAGGGAAGAAGACAGAGCUUCAGUCAUACAGAGAAAGCACACUCAGUACCAACCCUGCAGAGCAGGUGCCCCGACCUCCAUUACAGGAAAGGGGAAACCAAGGCUCGAAGGAAAGAUGUCACUUCCUGCACGCGUGUGACCAGGAUGAACUGGGCUGGGAUUCAAACCAAGCCAGCCCAGUUGAAAGCUCACAUUCUUCCUGCUGUACCGCCCAGCCUUUGGCUGUUCCUCACAGACUUGGUGUAGACAACACUAUUGCCUUCUUGUCUGUGAGCACUUUAAAGUCUAGGAAGCAAAGGAGCAAGGAAGAAGGGCAGUGUCCUCAGCAGCUGCUUUCACACAACUGUUCUUGUCUCUUCACCUUGACUGUAACACUCCUAGGGUCCUGGGGUUGGGGGACACAGAGCCAGGCCUGGCCAGCCUGAUCUCCGAAGGUCCUGCUCGGCCCAUAAGUCUACUAAGCCACCAUUCUGCCUAACCAAUGCCGCAUGCAAUUCUAACUCCCACAAUGGCCUGAAAAGCCCAACUCGGCCACCUGGAUCACAUCCUCUGCUGGCCAAGGACUGCCUCAGCUCUCCACAGAGGACCAUGCUUUCAAUUUUGCUACACUCUGUCAGCCAACCUACUCCACAUCCCUCAUCCACAUUCUCUGGCAGGCCAGCUCUGAAACACACAGCUGGGGACCUCCAAAGGUGUUCCUGUUCUAUGAAGGACACGUUGUCUAGAGUGGGACAGAUCUACAAUCUUACCUGUGCCUAGUCCCGUCCCCCCCCACCCCGCCCCAACCUCAAAGGUCAAAUUAAAGCAGAACCUGUGGAAAACGCCAUUACUUGUCAGGGCCUGAUUAGAAAAGGCCUCUCCCUGUUGUGUCUUAGAUGUCUACAUGUUAGGCACAUCCCUGCCUGACCUCUGUGUCUGAAGGCCAAUCCCCAUCAGGUUGACGUCUUCCCACACACUCCCCCAGGCACCUGAAUUAUCCUUGAACACAGGCUUAAAAGUGCUUAGGGGUCCUCCAUCUACAGCAGGCUGUGGGAAGAACAGAGGCUCAACUCAGCUUUCCCAGAGCCCAUCCCACUGGGGUCGGUGCCUUGGAAUAAGUGGCCAGCAGCAGGCCAGCCUACGUUACCCAGGGUUGCAGUGCAGGGUUUCUAGGCUCCUCUGAGCAUCUGUCCUCACCCUGCCUGAGCCCACACCUGAGGGAGUAGUCACUUAGUGAACUCUGAGAGGGGGAAGAGGAGACUGGCUUUUGGUUAACAAAAGUGAAACCACAGUACAGCCACUGACCAUGACACUCUGACCUUCCAAUGGGGAGGGCAAGCAAGAAAAUUACCACUUGAGCCAGACCUGGAGAGACUUUGCAAAGGACCAGGAGAGGCCAGUGGAGAGCAGCCAGUGCCAUCUAGGACAAUCAGGGCCCUGGAGAAGGAACUACUUACGAGGAGGGCCCAGGGGCCCUGGCUUCUGAAAGCAGAGAUUGGGAGGACAAGUGGCUCUGUCUUUGCAGAACAUGCACCAGAAGGGAAGGUGAGGAGGGGUACCUGGUGACCGAAUGCUGGUGCAGUUCUAGUACCACACAAGGUCGUGAGAGCUGGAAAGUAAUUUCAGAAACACAGCUCAAAGCAGCUACUCUGAAAACAGCUGCAGCGUGGGCAUCGAGAUCUGUUGGCUGCUGCCGUAACAGAAGUUCUGAGACUUAGUACUUUAUUCUUUUUAUGAGACAGGGUCUGCUAGGUAGCCUUGAACUCACUAUGUAGUUGUCUUAUUUUUCUUGUUUCAGGGACAAAACACCUAACACCCACAAGUUAAAGGAGCAGUGAUAUUUUUUAGCUCACAGUUUGCAGAAGUUUUAGUCAGAUGGUUCAAAGGCAGGAUUGUGUGGCAGAGGAGCAUCACAGAGGAGUGACAGACAGAAACAAGAGACUUCCUUCUUCGUUCUUAUUUUAUUUCACCCAGGCUACAAGCAUAUUAGUUGGUGCCACCCACACCCAGGGUGGAUUUUCUGUCUUCAGGAAAUACUUCAUCCACCCCCAUAUCUAUACUAAACCAAUCAGUGAACUAAUUCACUGUCACACCCGAGUCUGGCAAUCUCUGUAACCAAUGCAUGGGCCCUUUUCUACAUAUUCAUCUUUUCCUUCAUACAGGUAUGUCCAGCAUGCAGGACAUAUUUCCUCUCUUUCUUCUUUUCCUGUCCUCUUCAAUAACCAUCACUCUUCAAUCAGUAUUAAACUAUUAUGUUCA